AGAACAGCAGCCCGAUGUUUCUUGCAGAGCAGAGCAGUUGUAUGGAUGAAUCGAUCUUAUUUCGACCGUGGAUCGAUCUCCAUCGCUGAUGAUUGUUGCGUGGACGUAGUUAUUCUGUAACAACACAAAGAUGGUCAAUGGGGGUGCCUGCAGAUUGUAUCCAUAUAAUUUCGACAACAAUCGGUUCAGUAGAGCUUGAGAUAUCGUGUACGUCAGUUUGAAAAAAAAACUAGGGUCGAGAAAAACGCAUUUGAAGUUCAUUGUUAUGGCCGUAACAGGAUAGAUACCGCAUCACUAAAAUGGCUCUAACUCGGUAAAUAAUAGGAUUUUCGAUAAGGACUAGAAUACUCCCUUAAAUUAGCGCGGAAAAAACGGACAAGAAAACAGAAAAUGAUCAGCUUGGAUACACACGAUCAACAAGAAUUACUCACAACGUUAUUUUUAAUUAAUUGCUGCCGGCCGCAUGGACAAUGUCGGAGGGCCGCAGGUUGGCCACCACUGGUUUAAAAUAUCGUAAGGGUUCUUCUUCUUGAAUGGCGUUAACGUUCCCUGUGGAACUUUUGCCGUCUUAACGUAUGCAUUAACUAGCGUCAUUUAUUAAUACUUAGUUGAGAUUCCGUGAGCCAAAUAACACGUCUUGAAUGUAUUCCGAGGGGCAAGCUCUUGAAUACGCGUGACCACAGUGUAAGUCGAAGGAAAUUUCUUUGACGAAAAAUCCCCCCGACCAGAACGGGAAUC